GAUGAACGCUGGCGGCGUGCCUAAUACAUGCAAGUCGAGCGAACAGAUGAGGAGCUUGCUCCUCUGACGUUAGCGGCGGACGGGUGAGUAACACGUGGAUAACCUACCUAUAAGACUGGGAUAACUUCGGGAAACCGGAGCUAAUACCGGAUAAUAUAUUGAACCGCAUGGUUCAAUAGUGAAAGACGGUUUUGCUGUUACUUAUAGAUGGAUCCGCGCCGCAUUAGCUAGUUGGUAAGGUAACGGCAUACCAAGGCAACGAUGCGUAGCCGACCUGAGAGGGUGAUCGGCCACACUGGAACUGAGACACGGUCCAGACUCCUACGGGAGGCAGCAGUAGGGAAUCUUCCGCAAAGGGCGAAAGCCUGACGGAGCAACGCCGCGUGAGUGAUGAAGGUCUUCGGAUCGUAAAACUCUGUUAUUAGGGAAGAACAAAUGUGUAAGUAACUAUGCACGUCUUGACGGUACCUAAUCAGAAAGCCACGGCUAACUACGUG
rnacentral:rRNA from 1 species